CCUGGGCAUGGUGGCAUGCACCUGUGGUCCCAGGUACUCAGGAGGCUAAGGUGGAAGGAUCACUUGAGCCAGGGAGGCAGAGGUUGCAGUGAGCCAAGAUAACGCCAGUGCACUCCAACCUGGGUGAUAGAGUGAGACCCUGCCUCAAUAAAAAGAAAAAAAAAAAGAAAGAAAAUGCUGUUUUGGCAGGUCAAGUAAGACUUCCUUGAGAAUGUUGAAAGGAAGCUUUGUCCUGAAUGAUGUGCAGUGUAAUGGUUAAUAGUUUAGGGACUCUGACUGAUCCACCACUGGCUUCCUUGAUCCAAACUUGCAGACGGCCUAUCGUGGGACUUCACCUUGUGAUCAUGCAGGUGAUUUAUAAGAACAAAACCAAACCUCGACAUUGACAAAGGAGCUGUGCCAGCCGAAGAGGAGGCAAGUAGAGCAGAGCCUCAAGUAACACAAGAGAAAAUGCAGUUACUCAACUGAGUGUCGUAUUCAUAGCAUCGUGCACCUAAACAGUCGUGGCGGAAGUGCAAACAUGAGGAAACACACAGGCCAAAGAGCUCUUAAAAUACAGUCAAAUCAUUUUCAUGCUCAAAACAGAAACGUGGCAGAGGAAAAGAACCACAUGAGUUCUUUUCUUUUUUUUUUUUUUUUUUUUUUUUUACCUCCUAUUUUCCAUUACCUUUUGCCUUUCUUAUCUACCUGCAAAAAGUUUCUUUCGGAUUAAGCUUGCAAAAGAAAAAUGAAGUUGCAUACGCCUUCCCUCUCCACCAUCCCAAAUCCUCUAAUAUAAGAAGAUAACAUUUGCAUUCCUAUUUUUCAGGGUAUUACCUCAUUUAAUCCUCAUGGCAGGCAUUACUGAACUUAGAGGGGGAGGUUAAGGAACGUGUCUACACAUACAUUUGGGCAAACCAGAACUCCCAGCUCUUUCCACUGCAGAGCACCUACUCUACGUAGCAACUUUGCCUAUGGUAUCUCCAGGUCCCUAAAUUUCUGGCUCUUCAAAAAUAAAGAUAUUCAUGACCAUCCUGGGAAACAUGGUGAAAUCCCAUCUCUACAAAAAAUAGAAAAAUUAGUCUGAAAUGGUGGAGUGCACCUGUAGGUCCAGCUACUCAAAAGGCUGAGGUGGGAGAACUGCUUGGGCCUGGGAGGCAGAUGUUGCAGUAAGUCAAGAUCAUGCUACUGCACUCCACAGUUUGGAUGACAGAUCAAGACCCUGCCCCAAAAAUAAAGAUAGAUAGAUAGAUAAAUAGAAUUUAACUUUAUAAAACCCACCACAAUAAAUUCUAGUGGAUUAAAAAGUGCAAUAAAAAUGGUACUUCAAAGGAGAAAAAAAUUGAAUAUUGAUGUAAUCUUUAAUGUUAGAGAUUUUAGAGGCACAGCACUAACAGCAAAAAAAUAAAGGAAGAAAAAAUAGACCUGUAGAUAGGAACAAUUUUUUCUUUGUUCUUUUAAACUUUUAAUUGACAAAUAAUAAUUGUAUAUGUUUUUGGGGUGCAGUGUGAUGU